rnacentral:rRNA from 1 species
UGUUGCAUAUCAAAAAAGCGGAGGAAAAGAAACCAACAGGGAUUGCCUUAGUAACGGCGAGUGAAGCGGCAAAAGCUCAAAUUUGAAAUCGGCCACCAGGUCGAGUUGUAAUUUGUAGAUUGUAUCUUGAGAGCGGAUUAAAGUCUGUUGGAACACAGCGCCUUAGAGGGUGACAGCCCCGUAAAAUCUAUUCUCAUUGUAAGAUACUUUCGAAGAGUCGAGUUGUUUGGGAAUGCAGCUCUAAGUGGGAGGUAAAUUCCUUCUAAAGCUAAAUAUUGACGAGAGACCGAUAGCGAACAAGUACUGUGAAGGAAAGAUGAAAAGCACUUUGAAAAGAGAGUGAAAAAGUACGUGAAAUUGUUAAAAGGGAAGGGUAUUGAAUCAGACUUGGUGCUGUUGUUCAACUGUGUUUCGGCAUAGUGUACUCAGCAGUACUAGGCCAAGGUGGGGUGUUUGGGAGUGAAAAAGAAGUAGGAACGUAACUCUUCGGAGUGUUAUAGCCUACUUUCAUAGCUCCUCAGGCGCCUCAGGACUGCGCUCGGCAAGACAUGCAAAAGACAGAACAU